rnacentral:rRNA from 1 species
UGCCUAACACAUGCAAGUCGAACGGAAUAGGAACUGGUUGUAGCGAUACUUUCGGACCGUAUUAGUGGCGAACGGGUGAGUAACACGUGAGCAACCUGCCUUUACACAGGGAUAACAGCCGGAAACGGCUGCUAAUACCGGAUAAGACCACACCGAGGCAUCUCGGAGGGGUCAAAGCGAUUUAGCGGUAAAAGAUGGGCUCGCGUCCCAUUAGCUAGUUGGUGAGAUAACAGCCCACCAAGGCGACGAUGGGUAGCCGACUUGAGAGAGUGAUCGGCCACAUUGGAACUGAGACACGGUCCAGACUCCUUCGGGAGGGCAGCAGUGGGGAAUAUUGGGCAAUGGAGGAAACUCUUACCCAGCAAUUGCCGCGUGAAUGAAGAAGGCCUUCGGGUUGUAAAGUUCUUUUAUUGAUGAUAAAGCAAGUGAUAUUAGUCAAUGAAUAAGCCCCGGCUAACUAUGUGCCAGCAGCCGC